rnacentral:tRNA from 1 species
GGGCGGAUAGCUCAGCGGGAGAGCACUGCCUUCACACGGCAGGGGUCGCUGGUUCGAUCCCAGCUCCGCCCA